CCCUUAGAUGUUCUGGGCCGCACGCGUGCUACACUGAGUGGAUCAGCGGGUCAGGUUGCGCGAAAGCGUUUCCUAAUCUUUAAAUCCGCUCGUGAUGGGGAUUGACGGUUGCAAUUUUCUGUCAUGAACGAGGAAUACCUUGUAAGCGCGGGUCAUCAUCCCGCGCUGAAUACGUCCCUGCCCUUUGUACACACCGCCCGUCGCUACUACCGAUUGAAUGGCUUAGUGAGCUUUCUGGACUGUUGCUUUUCGUUGGAAACUUCGUUAAGCAUACGGGAAGGAAAUCAAACUUGAUCAUUUAGAGGAAGUAAAAGUCGUAACA
rnacentral:rRNA from 1 species